rnacentral:rRNA from 1 species
UACGUAGGGUGCGAGCGUUAAUCGGAAUUACUGGGCGUAAAGCGUGCGCAGGCGGUUUUUUAAGCCCGAUGUGAAAGCCCCGGGCUUAACCUGGGAAUGGCAUUUGGGACUGCAAGGCUUGAGUGCGGCAGAGGAGACUGGAAUUCCUGGUGUAGCAGUGAAAUGCGUAGAUAUCAGGAGGAAUACCGAUGGCGAAGGCAGGUCUCUGGGCUGACACUGACGCUCAUGCACGAAAGCGUGGGGAGCAAACAGG